rnacentral:rRNA from 1 species
CAAUAGCGUAUAUUAAAGUUGUUGCGGUUAAAAAGCUCGUAGUUGGAUUUCUGCUGAGGAUGACCGGUCCGCCCUCCGGGUGAGUAUCUGGCUCAGCCUUGGCAUCUUCCUGAAGAACGUAACUGCACUUGACUGUGUGGUGCGGUAUUUAGGACAUUUACUUUGAGGAAAUUAGAGUGUUUCAAGCAAGCGCACGCCUUGAAUACAUUAGCAUGGAAUAAUAAGAUAGGACCUCGGUUCUAUUUUGUUGGUUUCUAGAGCUGAGGUAAUGAUUGAUAGGGAUAGUUGGGGGCAUUCGUAUCUAACUGUCAGAGGUGAAAUUCUUGGAUUCGUUAAAGACGGACUACUGCGAAAGCAUUUGCCAAGGAUGUUUUCAUUGA